CACUGGGCAGAGAGCAGACCUGCUGCAGAGCUUUGCUAUUUUUACUUUUCUGUGAGGGGAUCUCAGGUUACAAAUUAUAUACCGAUGAGGUUUGGCUGGCUUUGACUUAAGUGGAUACAGUUGGAAUCCAGAUGCUACCCUCUACUUGGUACCAAACAACAUAGCCACACGAACUAUUUCUGCAGUGUAAACUGUGAGCCAAGUCCUUCAGCUGCGACCUGAGAAAAUUGUGAGGAAUUCUCCAUUGGUAUGUGCUGUCAUCAUUAGUGGCAAAACAAGAGCCAAAAAACAAAGAAUAUCUUCAGCUUCAAAGUGGGAAGUCAAAAUGUCCCAUUAAAGUGACAACCUUUCCUUUUAAGAUAACCCUAAAUGUUAUUAUGAAGUUACCUAAAUAGUAACACUUUCUUUGCAGCCACUAUUGAAUAACAAUUUUCCUUUAUUGAUGUUUUGACAUAAAGAGGACAGAUUAGGGGCUAAUAUACUGGACAAAUGACUACUUUCCCAAUUAAAAUAUGCUGGUAUGUACAAUUUUUCAGAUAUCUGGUUGCCUGUAGUGUCUUUCAGCAAACCACAUCCUGAGUGGGGAUCUAGCUAGGUGAUGAAUAUUAAGUCCCCAUCUACAGC